UUCCUUCUCCUAGACAUUUUUCCCCAAAGAAGCAUUGAGAAAACAUGACUGUGAUGCAUUGCCCCUUCCUCCUUACCCCUUAAUAGAUGCUUGGUCCCAAAGUACCGCCAGAACUACCUGUGGCUCCUGUGACUGCAGUGAUGGUGAGCAGGACAACGGUGUACAUGGUCUUCCUGAUCUCUUCCAAGGCAGCUCUUGCAUGUGUGGAUGAUGCAGGUUUCUUGCACCAUACUGCUUGCUGUGAGAUCCUCAUUGUCCCCUGCCAGUGAUCCUCAGCAGUCAGAGCCACUGCUCUUCCUAGGCUCCUGAAGGUUCCUGACUGCAGCUACAAAUAGGUGGUUCUUCAUAGCACAGAGCUUCUUCCUGUGCUGAGAACUGGUGAACGCAGAGGAAAUGGUAUUGAUGUUUGCUUUCUGUACACUUCUCUUCUCACAGUAGCACCAUGCAAGAAAAUCUAUGGCAGAACUUGCACACAGUAUAAGCAGAGUGAUUUUCAUGCCUGGUUCUGAUCUGAUAGUGAGGAUUUUAUCAAAGA